UCGGCAAAUGCCGGAGGAAUUACAGCCUGCUAAGCGCGAGGUCGCGGGUUCGAAUCCCGUCUCUGCCGCCAACUAUGGCAGAGUAGCUCAGUGGAUAGAGCGCGUAAAAAUUUCUCCACUCUUUGUUGCCUAAUG
rnacentral:Y_RNA from 1 species